GGGAGGUAGUGACAAUAAAUAACAAUACGGGGUUCUUUCGGAUUUCGUAAUUGGAAUGAGUACAAUUUAAAUCUCUUAACGAGGAACAAUUGGAGGGCAAGUCUGGUGCCAGCAGCCGCGGUAAUUCCAGCUCCAAUAGCGUAUAUUAAAGUUGUUGCAGUUAAAAAGCUCGUAGUUGAAUUUCGGGAUCAAUACGUCGGUCGUGCCUCGGUACGUACUAACGUCAUUGAUUUCUCCCUUCUGACGAGCCGUGAUGUCAUUUAUUUGGUGUUGUGGGGAAUCAGGACUGUUACUUUGAAAAAUUAGAGUGUUUAAAGCAGGCUCACGCUUGAAUACAUUAGCAUGGAAUAAUGAAAUAGGACGUUUGAUUCUAUUUUGUUGGUUUCUAGGAUCGACGUAAUGAUUAAUAGGGAUAGUUGGG
rnacentral:rRNA from 1 species